CCCCCGAGCCCCUUGCCGCCGCCGCUCGCCGAGGUCACGCCGUUGGCAAUGGCGAGGCCGUCAUGACACGUGGAGGUUCCUGCUUGGUUUUCAUUACUAUUUUUCAUUUUCCUUUUUCUCUUAUUGAUAUACCACUAAAUUUGAGGAUGAAAUUUGGGUAUUCUGGAAAAUGGAAUGCAUGAAAAAUCCUCAAAAUAGGGAAAGAAAUUAAUUUCCUCUUGGUCUUGGAUGUAAAUUUGGGUUCAGACUUCAGAGUAGUUUUUCUUCUUCUUCUGAUACAGUGAAUGUUUGGCUUAGGAUUCUUGGAAUUUUGAAGGGAAAUUCUUUAUAGAUUUCAAAUAUGGAUGAACCUUCUGGAGAUCUAAUCUUUAUAUUAGCAAGCUUAGUGCAGAAGACUGAAGAUGAUUCAUGAGUGUAAGCAAAGUAAGAAUUAGGAAUGCACGUACAGAAUGCUUUAUGUAAAAUUCUUUUAUAUCAGUAAGAAAUUUCAAUUCAAUACGUUCAUUUCAACUGGAAC
rnacentral:lncRNA from 1 species